rnacentral:rRNA from 1 species
AUGACCAAUAUGUACAACAUGCCUUUUGCUCUGUCCAUUGGAAUCAACCGUCAUGGGCAAUCUUUCAUGUUGGGCUACACGUUUGUGAGGCAAGAAAUGGAGACCAGCUUUGAUUGGGUUUUUGGAGCUUUCCUAGAGGCUAUGAAUGGAAGGGCAUCGGAUAACAUCAUUACUGAUCAAGAUGUGGCAAUGAAAGAGUCCAUAAAGAACAUAUUUCCCACAAGUGUGCACCGGUGUUGUCGGUGGCACAUCAUGAAAAAAUCUCAAGAGAAAGUUGGAUGGUUGCUAGGCCAGAACCCGAGAUUGUCUGAAGAUUUCAACCUUUGCUUUGGUUUCAGUUUCACACCAGAUGAGUUUGAACAGAAUUGGGUUGCGUUGAUGAUGAAAUAUGAGGCAAUUACACACACCCAUUUUGAGAAGCUAUAUGAAUAUAGGAACACUUGGGUGCCAUGUUACUUCAAGCAUAGAUUUUUCCCGUUCUUGCAGUCUACACAACGAAGUGAGGGGUUCAAUGCAGUCUUGAAGCGGUAUGUCAACCCUCACAAGUCAAUUCUGAACUUUGUGAAGCAGUACCACAAAAUACAGACGCACAUCCUUGUCAAGGAAGGGUGCAAUGACUACAGGACAGAACAUCUGGAUCUUGACAUGUGGUCACAAUUCCCAAUAGAGAAGCAGGCAUACAAGACAUAUACUAGAGAUCUUUACUGCAAGUUCCGUGAUGAGUUUUCGAUGAUUGGAUGCUACAAUGCAUUCCAAAUUGGUGUGGAAACGUUUGAGCUGAGACCAAGUACAGAAUGGGUUGUGAAGUAUGGUUCCAGGAACUACUUGGUGUUGGCAAAAAUACCCGAGGGACAAUUUUCGUGUGAGUGUACCAAAAUGGAGAGGGAUGGCAUCCUUUGUUGCCACAUACUGAAAGUGUUCACACAUAUUGGGCUUGAUGUCAUCUCGGAGCAGUACAUGUUGACGCGUUGGACGCCAAUUGCUGUCCCAAGUGUGCCAAGUGCCACUAGCGAGCAACCUGAUGUAAUGCCUCCUGCCUCUCUAAAGGAAAUUAGGCAUUCUAACAUGACCUCAGACUUCCAAAAACUAGCAAAGUUUGCUUGUGGCUCUGAUGCAGCAAAAGGCAUUGUUGAUAAACACAUGCGUGCAGCACGGACAGAGAUUGUGCAGCUGAACAAGUCUAGAAGGAAAAAAGGGCUGCAAGAGAGGCAGGUCCGUCCGCUGGUGAUAACAACAAGGAUCCUCCCGUGCCGCCUACAUCUACAGGGCCUACUCCAACAACUACCCCUACUGGACGUGCUCCACUGCCUACUCCCAUGGGCUGUGGUGGCCCACCUCCUCCCAUGGAACGUGCUGGUCGUGGUCCACCAUGUCCUCCCAUGGGUCGUGCUACUCAUGCUCUAG